AUAUUGGACAAUGGGCGAAAGCCUGAUCCAGCCAUGCCGCGUGUGUGAAGAAGGUCUUCGGAUUGUAAAGCACUCUAAGUUGGGAGGAAGGGCUUUAGGUUAUUACCCUGAAGUUGUGACGUUACCAACAGUAUAAGCACCGGCCAACCCUGUGCCAGCAGCCGCGGUAAUCCAGAGGGUGCAAGCGUUAAUCGGAAUUACUGGGCGUAAAGCGGGCGUAGGUGGUUCAGUAAGAUGGGUGUGAAAUCCCCGGGCUUAACCUGGGAACUGCUUUCAUAACUGCUGGGCUAGAGUACGGUAGAGGGUAGUGGAAUUUCCUGUGUAGCGGUGAAAUGCGUAGGUAUAGGAAGGAACACCAGUGGCGAAGGCGACCACCUGGGCUAAUACUGACACUGAGGUGCGAAAGCGUGGGGAGCAAAC
rnacentral:rRNA from 1 species